ACUUGAAGUACACUAGUUUGUGCUGGGAUCCGGUUAGAUAUCACAAGCUCAGCAAGGAGAGUCUGGAUUUGUACUUGGAUGGGAAACUGCUAGUGAAGAUGCAGCUCAAUUU
rnacentral:rRNA from 1 species